rnacentral:rRNA from 1 species
GACGUAGGAGGCGAGCGUUGUCCGGAUUCAUUGGGCGUAAAGAGCACGCAGGCGGUUUGGCAAGUCGGAUGUGAAAACCCGGAGCUCAACUCCGGACCUGCAUCCGAAACUGCCCGACUAGAGGUAGGUAGGGGAGAUCGGAAUUCCUGGUGUAGCGGUGAAAUGCGCAGAUAUCAGGAAGAACACCAAUGGCGAAGGCAGCUCUCUGAGACGGUACUGACGCUGAGACGCGAAAGCGUGGGGAGCGAACAGG